UGGGGAAUUUUGGACAAUGGGCGAAAGCCUGAUCCAGCAAUGCCGCGUGUGUGAAGAAGGCCUUCGGGUUGUAAAGCACUUUUGUCCGGAAAGAAAUGGCUCUGGUUAAUACCUGGGGUCGAUGACGGUACCGGAAGAAUAAGGACCGGCUAACUACGUGCCAGCAGCCGCGGUAAUACGUAGGGUCCAAGCGUUAAUCGGAAUUACUGGGCGUAAAGCGUGCGCAGGCGGUUGUGCAAGACCGAUGUGAAAUCCCCGAGCUUAACUUGGGAAUUGCAUUGGUGACUGCACGGCUAGAGUGUGUCAGAGGGGGGUAGAAUUCCACGUGUAGCAGUGAAAUGCGUAGAGAUGUGGAGGAAUACCGAUGGCGAAGGCAGCCCCCUGGGAUAACACUGACGCUCAUGCACGAAAGCGUGGGGAGCAAACAGGAUUAGAUACCCUGGUAGUCCACGCCCUAAACGAUGUCAACUAGUUGUUGGGGAUUCAUUUCCUUAGUAACGUAGCUAAUGCGUGAAGUUGACCGCCUGGGGAGUACGGUCGCAAGAUUA
rnacentral:rRNA from 1 species